rnacentral:misc_RNA from 1 species
UUUUGUUUGUAAUGAAUUUUACAAAGUAAUUUUUUACCUAUUUUAAAAAUUAUCGUACUAGUAGAAUAUUAUAUUAUUGUAUCAAAUUCGUGUGUAGUCUACGCAAGCGAAGACGCAGUAGAAAGCUAGUACGUAAUAUAAUACAUUUUCAAUGUAAAUAAACUAGAUAAAAUUUAUUCCAUUGUGGUUAAAUUAACUUAAGUAACAAAUUUCGGAAUUAUUGAAACAAUAAAAACAAUAGGAACCCAAAUAUAAAAUGAACCUAAUCACAGAUCGUAUUAAUAAAAAUUCGUUCAUUAUAUAUACGAGUACAUACAAUGUAAUUUUACCUUCGAUUGUCUUAUCAAAGCGAUAGGCUUGGUCGAUUCACACAU